ensembl:lincRNA
GCCAUAAAGAAUGAAAUUUUGUUAUUUGCAGAAAAAUGGAUAAUGGAGAUCAUUACGUUGAGCAAAAUAAGCUAGACUCAGAAAAGUAAAUAUUGUAGGUUCUUCCUACUAUGUGGACUCUAAAACAUAUGACAAGAAAGUAGGAGGGAGACCAUUUUUAGACAAGUGGAAGGGGAUGAAGGGAGGGAAGCUAACAAGAGAAAGUAGAUUUUAAAAUGGACUAAAUGAAAGGUAAUGUUUACACAGCAAGUUUGAAGACCUUGGAGAUCUAGCUAUGCUGUGAGAAGCAGAGGAAUGAGAGAUGACAAAGUCCCCACGCCACUGGGUUUCAAGUAAACUGCAGAACAGUAAAUGGAUUUUCGAUCCAUGGAUUGGCAGGCGAUUUUGCUUCUAAUUCUAUUUCGCCCACAUCCAACACCCACUGCCAGUGAGCAGUGCUCCCAUUGCUUGGCAUCUACAUCCUCUCCAUGUAGAAGAAUCUCCAGGAAAGCCAGAUGUCAUGGUUACUUUCCUCCCUUUGCUGAGACAAAAUACCCAACACCCAAAGUUACAGAAGGAAAGUUUUAUUCAGCUCACAGUUUGCAGAGGUUUCAGUCCAUCAUUGGCUGACUCCAAGGCAGGGUGGUACAUGGUAGAGAGGCAACAGUUAAUGGGGGUAGAAGGCAACAAAAGCAACAAGAGACCUUAAAAGUGUCUUCAUGCCCCUUUUAUCUUAUCCAGACUACUUAGGGCAGGUAGCACUCACCCCCUUAAUCCUAGUGCCCUUAAGUUUAGCAUUGCUCCAGGAAUCAAUUCCAGCAUCACACACUCUAGAUCCAGUCACCUCCAAAAGAGACCCACCCAAUUCACACGAGGCUUUAAAGUGACAUCUAAACACAAACCAUUACACCAAAUUAUUUCUAGAAAAUUCCCUGAUGUGUGUUGUGGGUUGGAUUGUGUCUCCCAGAAAAGAUAUGUUGGAGCCUAACCCCCAGCACCUCACAAUGUGAAUUUACUUGGAGAGAGUCAUUCCAGAGGUGACUGAGUUAAGUGAGGUCUCAAGGUGGCCCUCCUGCAACAUGGCUACUAAUCCCCAUAAAAAGGGGAAAUUUGACACAGAGACAGACACACAUAGAAGGAAGAUGACGUGAGGAGACACAAUGAAUGAGAAGGCAGCCAUCUUCCAGACAAGCAGGCAGGCCUGGGACAGAUCUUCUGCACAGCCCUCAGAAGGAACCAACAUGGAAAACUGACACCUGAAUCUGGACUUCUAAAGUUCUGUUGUUUAAGCCACUUAUUUUGUGGUAGUUUGUUACGACAGCUUUAGCAAACUGAUACAGUGAGUAUAGAGUCAGAGCAAGGAUGUAUCACUGCAUGAGGCAAAUGUAAAAUGGCGUUGGCUGUGUAGUUUGUGGCCCUCAGAGGAAUCAAGACAGAUGAGCAUCCCCACCCAGCAAAAUUACCUCUAUUCCAUGCCCAAACGCUGGAAGCUCAGUGACCAAUCUUCGCCCCAUGAGGUCCUUUUCUGGCUCCAUGCAGACCACUUCCAUGUCACUACUUAAAUAUACGCAGGCCUGAAUUUGAUUAACAGCUCAAAGCAGAACCAGAACUUUCAAAAUAAUUGACAGAGAGUUCAGAUAUGUGCUUGGAGAUAGCAAGAAACUUUGUUCUAAGGUCUUUCUGUUCCCAAACAAGAUAAUUUGGUCAGAUAGUCUUCAAAUAAGUUAAACAUUUAUAAAAAAUUUAAAAAUAAUACAAUGGAGGGCAUUUGGCAAAUAUACUUUUACAUUUAGUUUAAAAUGUUUUAUAGGGCUGGGGAUUUAGCUCAGUGGUUCUGCUGCCUGCCUCACAAGUGCAAGGACAUGAGUUUGAUCCCCGGAAAAAAAAAAAAAAAAAAAAAGUUUUAUAAAUGAAAUUGAAUCACAACCUCUUAGGCCUGCAGCAUACAGAGGGUUUCCCAGGACUACCAUUUUUGAAACUGUGACUGGUGAGGGGAGCAGCCCUCCGGUGCUUCUGAGCUUUCUCUCCCCACCCCCACCCCGGGCCUGAUCACACAGGUGUGACCUGCAUUUCAGGUGUCCUCCUCCCCCUCUACCAGCAUGCAUUCGGG